rnacentral:misc_RNA from 1 species
GAUGAAGAACGUAGUGAAAUGCGAAAAGUAGUGUGAAUUGCAGAAUUCAGUGAAUCAUCGAAUCUUUGAACGCACAUUGCGCCCCUUGGUAUUCCAUGGGGCAUGCCUGUUCGAGCGUCAUUUGUACCUUCAAGCUUUGCUUGGUGUUGGGUGUUUGUCUCGCCUUUGCGUGUAGACUCGCCUUAAAAUAAUUGGCAGCCGGCGUAUUGAUUUCGGAGCGCAGUACAUCUCGCGCUUUGCACUCAUAACGACAGCGUCCAAAAGUACAUUUUACACUCUUGACCUCGGAUCAGGUAGGGAUACCCGCUGAACUUAAGCAUAUCAAUAAGCGGAGGA